rnacentral:rRNA from 1 species
UAUGGCCAUACCACCCUGAACCUACCUGAUCUCCUUUGAUCUAGUGAAGCUAAGCAGGGUUGGGCCUAGUUAGACUUGGAUGGGAGACACAGAUGUUGAUAGCACUGGGACACAGUCAUUU